UACACAGCUGGAUGGAGAGCACUGCCCAUGAAGAAAUGACAACUCUGAAUGCCUUCCUAUGAGAUGGCUCUGCUUUGAAGAUGGAAGUGAGAGAGAGGCAACAAGGAGCCCUGGACACAUGGAGGGUGGGGGAUAAAGAAAGAAGAGUAUGGGAGCUGGGACUGCCCCAGGCUGAGAAGGGUCCCAGGGCCAUGCCCAAGGCAGGCCUGAUAUUAACUGUGGAGAACGAUGGGGGUCCCCAGAGGCUGGGAGAAGCGAUAACUCACAGAGCUGCCUCAUGCAACUGGAGUCUGGACAAUGG
rnacentral:lncRNA from 10 species